GCCUGGGUGGCUCAGUCAGUUAAGCAUCUGACUUUGGCUCAGGUCAUGAUCCCAGAGUCCUGGGAUCAAGCCCCGCUUAGGCU
rnacentral:tRNA from 1 species